rnacentral:rRNA from 1 species
UACGAAGGGGGGCUAGCGUUGCUCGGAUUGACUGGGCGUAAAGGGCGCGUAGGCGGUUCGUACAGUCAGACGUGAAAUUCCUGGGCUCAACCGUGGGGCUGCGUUUGAUACGUGCGGACUUGAGUGCGGAAGAGGGUCGUGGAAUUCCCAGUGUAGAGGUGAAAUUCGUAGAUAUUGGGAAGAACACCGGUGGCGAAGGCGGCGACCUGGUCCGAUACUGACGCUGAGGCGCGAAAGCGUGGGGAGCAAACAGG